UGGGGAAUAUUGCACAAUGGGCGCAAGCCUGAUGCAGCAACGCCGCGUGAACGAUGAAGGUCUUCGGAUCGUAAAGUUCUGUUGCAGGGGAAGAUAAUGACGGUACCCUGUGAGGAAGCCCCGGCUAACUACGUGCCAGCAGCCGCGGUAAUACGUAGGGGGCUAGCGUUAUCCGGAUUUACUGGGCGUAAAGGGUGCGUAGGUGGUCUUUCAAGUCGGUGGUUAAAGGCUACGGCUCAACCGUAGUUAGCCUCCGAAACUGGAAGACUUGAGUGCAGGAGAGGAAAGUGGAAUUCCCAGUGUAGCGGUGAAAUGCGUAGAUAUUGGGAGGAACACCAGUAGCGAAGGCGGCUUUCUGGACGGCAACUGACACUGAGGCACGAAAGCGUGGGUAGCAAACAGG
rnacentral:rRNA from 1 species